ACGACUGUACAAUCCUUCGGGUGCGUUCAUGGGCGACGAGUGGCGGACGGGUGAGUAACGCGUAGGAAUCUACCCAACUGUGGGGGACAACCCGGAGAAAUCCGGGCUAAUACCGCAUACGCCCUACGGGGGAAAGCGGGGGAUCUUCGGACCUCGCGCGGUUGGAUGAGCCUGCGUCCGAUUAGCUUGUUGGUAGGGUAACGGCUUACCAAGGCGACGAUCGGUAGCUGGUCUGAGAGGAUGAUCAGCCACACUGGGACUGAGACACGGCCCAGACUCCUACGGGAGGCAGCAGUGGGGAAUAUUGGACAAUGGGGGCAACCCUGAUCCAGCCAUGCCGCGUGUGUGAAGAAGGCCUUCGGGUUGUAAAGCACUUUUAGUGGGGAAGAAAAACUUGAGGUUAAUACCCUCGGGUCUUGACGGUACCCGCAGAAAAAGCACCGGCUAAUUCCGUGCCAGCAGCCGCGGUAAUACGGAAGGUGCGAGCGUUAAUCGGAAUCACUGGGCGUAGAGCGCGCGUAGGCGGUUAGGUAAGUCAGAUGUGAGAGCCCCGGGCUCAACCUGGGAACUGCAUUUGAUA
rnacentral:rRNA from 1 species